UUGACUGCUGGUCAGGGCAACUGUGGGAGAGGAAGAUCACAGGUGAUGACAAGGGAUUACUGUGACUGGAUUUUCAGUAUGAUUUGAAGGUAAAGCAAGAAGGCAUCCAUCUACAAUCCAGGAAGAGGACUAUCACCAGAACUCCAUGCUGCUGACACCUUGAUCUUGGACUUCCAGCCUCCAGAACUUGCUGAAAGGCCACACAUGGUCUCUGAAGUAAGUAACACAGGAUGGAUAACAUUGAAAUACUGGAAGACAACAUCACGUAUAGCAGUGCUUUGUUAGGUCCUUAAAAAUCUACAAUUGCAAUUAUUACAUAGUAAAUGAAGCAUGAAGGUACUUGUACCUGACCCUA